AUUGAACGCUGGCGGCAGGCCUAACACAUGCAAGUCGAACGAGUGGCGGACGGGUGAGUAAUGUCUGGGCAACUGCCUGAUGGAGGGGGAUAACUACUUGAAACGGUAGCUAAUCACGAAUACCAUCGGAUCUGGCCAGAUGGGAUUAGCUGUUGGGGGGGGCAAAGGCUCACCUAGGCGACGACCCCUAGCUGGUCUGAGAGGAUGACAAGCCAAACUGGAACUGAGAAACGGUCCAGACUCCUACGGGAGGAAGCAGGGGGGAAUAUUCGACAAUGGGGACAGGCCUGAUGCAGCCAUGCCGAGUGUAUGAAGAAGGCCUUCUGGUUGUAAAGUACUUUAAGCGGGAAGGCGUUACCCGCAGAAGAAGCACCGGCUAACUCCGUGCCAGCAGCCGCGGUAAUAC
rnacentral:rRNA from 1 species